CGCAAUGGUUACAAACACUCCGACGCAGCCGCCUAAGAAGCCAGUACAGUUUUGGAGACGUCACAGAAUGAAAACAGUCUUACUUAUAUUUCAUCUCCUGAUAUCAUGUGUUCUCCACGACUGCGCCACGGGCUCCUAUGGGCCAUGCACGGACAUUGAGGGGUGGUCAUACGUGCUACCACCAGCCCAGCAUGGCACAGAUAGCGAUGGCUGUAUAAGGACUAGACAUAAGGAACACGACGGUGCACUGGCAAAGGAUGCCCAAGGGAAAGUCUUUAUCCAAGCCUACCUGAAGCGCUGCAACUUCACAUGUUUAAUGCCCUAUGUUCCAAGAUAUGAGGUGUUCCAAAGGCGGAAUGAACCCGAUGGGACGCCCUGCGUGAAAGGGCGUACCCAGCACACAAGAUACAGUAACAUGUUCUACUAUAGCUACGGACACUGUCGAGACGGGCAGUGUCGCUGAUAUCCCGAUGGAUUUCUUCAGUCAACUACUUGGGCGGGCUUCACAAGGUUUCCUCACUUCUGACCACGGUUUCUGGUGUCACGUGUUCAAGCAUUCUCCCAAAUAAAUGCACAUUAUAUGGGA